CACGUAGGCGGAUUUGUAAGUCAGGGGUGAAAUCCCGGGGCUCAACCUCGGAACUGCCUUUGAUACUGCAAAUCUCGAGCCCGGAAGAGGUGAGUGGAAUUCCUAGUGUAGAGGUGAAAUUCGUAGAUAUUAGGAAGAACACCAGUGGCGAAGGCGGCUCACUGGUCCGGUACUGACGCUGAGGUGCGAAAGCGUGGGGAGCAAACA
rnacentral:rRNA from 1 species